AGGGUACUGGUUUCAAGUGGAUGGUAGAGUCGUUUUCUAACAUCUAGCACCAUUUGAAAUCAGUGCUUU
rfam:Asian citrus Psyllid, Diaphorina citri - Florida Strain, whole genome shotgun sequence.